rnacentral:rRNA from 1 species
GGGUGAGUAACACGUGGGUAACCUGCCCUAAAGUCUGGGAUACCACUUGGAAACAGGUGCUAAUACCGGAUAACAACAAUAGCUGCAUGGCUAUUGCUUAAAAGGCGGCGAAAGCUGUCGCUAAAGGAUGGACCCGCGGUGCAUUAGCUAGUUGGUAAGGUAAUGGCUUACCAAGGCGACGAUGCAUAGCCGAGUUGAGAGACUGAUCGGCCACAUUGGGACUGAGACACGGCCCAAACUCCUACGGGAGGCAGCAGUAGGGAAUCUUCCACAAUGGGCGAAAGCCUGAUGGAGCAACGCCGCGUGAGUGAAGAAGGUUUUCGGAUCGUAAAGCUCUGUUGUUGGUGAAGAAGGAUAGAGGUAGUAACUGGCCCCUAUUUGACGGUAAUCAACCAGAAAGUCACGGCUAACUACGUGCCAGCAGCCGCGGUAAUACGUAGGUGGCAAGCGUUGUCCGGAUUUAUUGGGCGUAAAGCGAGCGCAGGCGGAAAGAUAAGUCUGAUGUGAAAGCCCCCGGCUUAACCGAGGAAUUGCAUCGGAAACUGUGUUUCUUGAGUGCAGAAGAGGAGAGUGGAACUCCAUGUGUAGCGGUGGAAUGCGUAGAUAUAUGGAAGAACACCAGUGGCGAAGGCGGCUCUCUGGUCUGUAACUGACGCUGAGGCUCGAAAGCAUGGGUAGCGAACAGGAUUAGAUACCCUGGUAGUCCAUGCCGUAAACGAUG